rnacentral:rRNA from 1 species
CCUGCUUCCAGGAAAAGCCUCUAAGCAUCAGGUAACAUCAAAUCGUACCCCAAACCGACACAGGUGGUCAGGUAGAGAAUACCAAGGCGCUUGAGAGAACUCGGGUGAAGGAACUAGGCAAAAUGGUGCCGUAACUUCGGGAGAAGGCACGCUGAUAUGUAGGUGAAGUCCCUCGCGGAUGGAGCUGAAAUCAGUCGAAGAUACCAGCUGGCUGCAACUGUUUAUUAAAAACACAGCACUGUGCAAACACGAAAGUGGACGUAUACGGUGUGACGCCUGCCCGGUGCCGGAAGGUUAAUUGAUGGGGUUAGCGCAAGCGAAGCUCUUGAUCGAAGCCCCGGUAA